CACGUAGGCGGCAUCGUAAGUCAGGGGUGAAAUCCCGGGGCUCAACCCCGGAACUGCCCUUGAAACUGCAGUGCUAGAAUCUUGGAGAGGCGAGUGGAAUUCCGAGUGUAGAGGUGAAAUUCGUAGAUAUUCGGAAGAACACCAGUGGCGAAGGCGACUCGCUGGACAAGUAUUGACGCUGAGGUGCGAAAGCGUGGGGAGCAAACAGGAUUAGAUACCCCAGUA
rnacentral:rRNA from 1 species